rnacentral:rRNA from 1 species
CAUGUCUUUUUGUUUAUAAUUUAAAGUCUGAUCUGCCCAAUGAUUAAUUAAAUGGCCGCAGUAUUUUGACUGUGCAAAGGUAGCAUAAUCAUUAGUUUUUUAAUUGAAAGCUGGGAUGAAGGAUUUAAUAAGAAAAUGACUGUCUCUUUUUAUUUAUUUGAAUUUUAUUUUUGAGUGAAAAAGCUUAAAUUUUUUAAAAAGACGAGAAGACCCUAUAGAGUUUAAUUUUUUUUUUAAUAAUAUUUUUAUUUGGAAUUUUAUUUUUUAUUUUGAAAAGAAUUUUAUUGGGGUGAUAUAAAAAUUUAAUAAACUUUUUAUUUAUUUUUACAUUAAUUUAUGUUUUUAAUGAUCUUGAUUUUUGAAAGGAAAGAUAAAAUUACCUUAGGGAUAACAGCGUAAUUUUUUUAAAAAGUUCAAAUUGAUAAAAAAGAUUGCGACCUCGAUGUUGGAUUAAAAUUUAAAAUUGGUGUAGGUGCUAGUUGCUUAGGUCUGUUCGACCUUUAAAAUU